UACGAAGGGGGCUAGCGUUGCUCGGAAUGACUGGGCGUAAAGGGCGCGUAGGCGGUCUUCCAAGUCAGUGGUGAAAGCCCGGAGCUCAACUCCGGAACUGCCAUUGAAACUGUGAGACUUGAGUACGAGAGAGGUGAGUGGAAUUCCCAGUGUAGAGGUGAAAUUCGUAGAUAUUGGGAAGAACACCGGUGGCGAAGGCGGCUCACUGGCUCGUAACUGACGCUCAGGCGCGACAGCGUGGGGAUCAAACAGG
rnacentral:rRNA from 1 species